GAUGAACGCUGGCGGCGUGCCUAAUACAUGCAAGUCGAGCGAACAGACGAGGAGCUUGCUCCUCUGACGUUAGCGGCGGACGGGUGAGUAACACGUGGAUAACCUACCUAUAAGACUGGGAUAACUUCGGGAAACCGGAGCUAAUACCGGAUAAUAUAUUGAACCGCAUGGAUCAAUAGUGAAAGACGGUUUUGCUGUCACUUAUAGAUGGAUCCGCGCCGCAUUAGCUAGUUGGUAAGGUAACGGCUUACCAAGGCAACGAUGCGUAGCCGACCUGAGAGGGGGAUCGGCCACACUGAAACUGAGACACGGCCCAACCCCCAACGGGAGGCAGAGGGAGGGAAUCUGCAGAAAUGGGCGAAAGCUUGACGGAGCAACGCGGCGGGAGUGAUGAAGGCCUUCGGUUGGUAAACCUCUGUUAUGAGGGAAAAACAAAUGUGUAAGUAACUAUGCACGUCUGGAGGGUACCUAAGCAGAAAGAACGGCUAACUACGUG
rnacentral:rRNA from 1 species